UGGAACGACCUCAUGGACUGGACU
rnacentral:siRNA from 1 species